CGAAAGCUGAGGAAAGUCCGGGCUCCAUAGGGCAGGAUGCUGGCUAACGGCCAGUGAGGGUGACCUUAAGGAAAGUGCCACAGAAAACAAACCGCCAUUUUUAAUGGUAAGGAUGAAACGGUGCGGUAAGAGCGCACCAGCAGCUGGGUGACCAGUUGGCUAGGUAAACCCCAUCUGGAGCAAGACCUAAUAAAAACAAUAGAGCGGCCCGUGCUGUUUUGGGUAGGUCGCUAGAGAUUCGUGGCAACACGGAUUCGAGAUAGAUGAUCACUUAUACAGAACCCGGCUUAUUACCC
rnacentral:RNase_P_RNA from 1 species